UACAGAGGGUGCAAGCGUUAAUCGGAAUUACUGGGCGUAAAGCGUGCGUAGACGGUUAUGUAAGUCAGAUGUGAAAGCCCAGGGCUCAACCUUGGAAUUGCAUUUGAGACUGCAUAGCUAGGGUGCGGAAGAGGGAAGCGGAAUUUCCGGUGUAGCGGUGAAAUGCGUAGAUAUCGGAAGGAACACCAGUGGCGAAGGCGAGUCCCUGGACAACUUCUGACGCUGAGGCAUGAAAGCUAGGGGAGCAAACAGG
rnacentral:rRNA from 1 species